AUGAUGAGCAGCUUAGAUUGCUCAGACAUUCAACAGUCAACACCAGCCAUGAGCCAUUUUGUUUCAAAACACCCCAUGAUCCUGAUCUGCCCCAUGGUGCACUCUGCAAUAGCAUUUGGGAAACAGCAAAGCCAGCUGCAUGCCCUGCCUCUCACUCCAACUGAUGAGGGGACGUACAACCCUGUCUGGAGAAGCUGUCAGAAGGAAUACAGCUAGUAAAAGAGGAGCUAUAAUUUAACUGAAACUGCUGAAGUACAAAUUAAGGCACAUAUUCACCAUCAACAACUUCAGUUUUCAAAGACACAUGCAGUUUGAUACAGAGGCAGAAGCAAGAAGCACAACUGGCUCAAGCACGGCUGGCACCUUUCCGGGAACGUGCCAAAAGUCCCUCUGACACCCACAAAGCUCCCAGUGCUGGAGACAACCAAGAAUACAGGGCUAAAAUUUGGCAGCUACUUAUCAGCAAGCGAUUUAGGGACAUAAGAUAUCUAAGCAUAUAAUUACAUUUUCUUAAUUCCUCAAACACAGUCUGCUGGUGCACACAAGCUCUCUUGGGGAAAUCAGGAAGAAAUUGGACGGACUUUCCAACUGCAGGAUUGGGAAGCUCACAGAGUCACAAUUAUGAUAUUAGAAAAAAAUAUCACAAAUAUGUCAUAUAAACUGGAGAGUAUAAUGUAUGGAUAAACACAUACCUGCUGCAUUGAUUGUAUUUUGUAACAAAAACCAUGAAGGCCAGUAUGUGUGAUUUUGG
rnacentral:lncRNA from 1 species